AUUCCAGCUCCAAUAGCGUAUAUUUUAGUUGUUGCAGUUAAAAAGCUCGUAGUUGAAUUUCUGGUGGGAAGAUGCGGACGGCCUCAUGGCUUGUUCCAAGUCUUCCGGCCAUCCUUGGGUGGAGCUCGUCUGGCAUUAAGUUGUCGGGCGGGGGAUGCCCAUCGUUUACUGUGAAAAAAUUAAAGUGUUCAAAGCAGACUUAUGUCGUUGAAUAUAUUAGCAUGGAAUAAUAAGAUAGGACAGCAGUGCUAUUUUGUUGGUUUGCGCACCGUUGUAAUGAUGAAUAGGGACAGUUGUGGGUAUUUAUAUUCACUUGUAAGAGGUGAAAUUCUUAGAUUAAGGGAAGAUAAACUACUGCGAAAGCAUUUACCAAGGACGUUUUCAUUA
rnacentral:rRNA from 1 species